UACGUAGGGGGCAAGCGUUAUCCGGAUUUACUGGGUGUAAAGGGAGCGUAGACGGCUAGUCAAGUCAGAAGUGAAAGCCCAGGGCUCAACCUUGGGACUGCUUUUGAAACUGUCUGGCUAGAGUGCAGGAGAGGUAAGUGGAAUUCCUAGUGUAGCGGUGAAAUGCAUAGAUAUUAGGAGGAACACCAGUGGCGAAGGCGGCUUACUGGACUGUAACUGACACUGAGGCUCGAAAGCGUGGGGAGCAAACAGG
rnacentral:rRNA from 1 species